ensembl:miRNA
GGUCAGGGGAAGGGAGGAGCUGCCUGCACCUCUGUCCUCCCCGUCUUCCUCCUCCUCCUGCUCCACAGAGCCGUGGCCUCC